rnacentral:rRNA from 1 species
CCUACGGGCGGCAGCAGUGGGGAAUAUUGGGCAAUGGGCGCAAGCCUGACCCAGCAACGCCGCGUGAAGGAAGAAGGCUUCCGGGUUGUAAACUUCUUUUCUGCGGGACGAAGAAAGUGACGGUACCUCAGGACUAAGCCACGGCUAACUACGUGCCAGCAGCCGCGGUAAUACGUAGGUGGCAAGCGUUCUCCGGAUUCAUUGGGUGUAAAGGGCGUGUAGGCGGGAAAGCAAGUCAGAUGUGAAAACUCAGGGCUCAACCCUGGGCCUGCAUUUGAAACUGUUGUUCUUGAGUGCUGGAGAGGCAAUCGGAAUUCCGUGUGUAGCGGUGAAAUGCGUAGAUAUACGGAGGAACACCAGUGGCGAAGGCGGAUUGCUGGACGGUAACUGACGCUGAGGCGCGAAAGCGUGGGGAGCGAACAGGAUUAGAUACCCGAGUAGUC